UUAUACGGGAAGAGUAGAGGACGGUACCGUAUGAAUAAGUCCCGGCUAACUACGUGCCAGCAGCCGCGGUAAUACGUAGGGGACGAGCGUUGUCCGGAAUUACUGGGCGUAAAGGGCAUGUAGGCUGUUUAUCAAGUCAGUAGUAAAAAGUUGAGGCUUAACCUUAACGAGCUAUUGAGACUGAUAGACUGGAGUACUGAAGAGGCAAGGGGAAUUCCCAGUGUAGCGGUGAAAUGCGUAGAUAUUGGGAAGAACACCGGUGGCGAAGGCGACUUGCUGGUCAGUAACUGACGCUGAUGUGCGAAAGCCAGGGGAGCGAACGGGAUUAGAUACCCCGGUAGUCCUGGCUGUAAACGAUGAAUGCUAGGUGUGUGAGUAGAGAUACUGAUGUGCCGCAGUUAACGCGAUAAGCAUUCCGCCUGGGGACUACGGCCGCAAGGUUGAAACUCAAAGGAAUUGACGGGGGCCCGCACAAGCGGUGGAGCACGUGGUUUAAUUCGAUGCAAA
rnacentral:rRNA from 1 species